GCAUCCUUAGCUCAGUUGGAUAGAGCAACAGCCUUCUAAGUUGUAGGUCACAGGUUCAAUUCCUGUAGGAUGUA
rnacentral:tRNA from 1 species